ensembl:lncRNA
CCCUUUACUCAGUACUUUGUUGAAGCACCUUUGGCAGCGAUUACAGCCUCGAGUCUUCUUGGGUAUGACGCUGCAAGCUUGGCACACCUGUAUUUGGAGAGUUUCUCCCAUUCUUCUCUGCAGAUCUUCUCAAGCUCUGUCAGGUUGGAUGGGGAGAGUUACUGCACAGCCAUUUUCAGGUCUGACCAGAGAUGUUUGAUCCGGUUCAAGUCCGGGCUCUGGCUGGGCCACUCAAAGACAUGUCCUGAAGCCACUACUGCGUUGUCUUUGCUGUGUGCUUAGGGUCGUUGUCCUGUUGGAAGGUGAACCUUCGCCCCAGUCUGAGGUCCUGAGCACUCUGGAGCAGGUUUUCAUCAGGAUCUCUCUGUACUUUUCUUCAUUCAGCUUUGCCUCGAUCCUGACUGUGUCCCAGUCCCUACCAUUGAAAAACACCCCCACAGCAUGAUGCUGCCACCACCAUGCUUCACCAUAAGGAUGGUGCAAGGUUUCCUCCAGACAUGACACUUGGCAUUAAGGCCAAAGAUUUCAAUCUUGGUUUCAUCCACCAGAGACUCUGGUUUCUCAUGGUCUGGGAGUCUUUAGGUACCUAAUGGUCUGGGAGUCUUUAGGUACCUAAUGGUCUGAGAGUCUUUAGGUACCUAAUGGUCUGAGAGUCUUUAGGUACCUAAUGGUCUGGGAGUCUUUAUGUACCUAAUGGUCUGAGAGUCUUUAGGUACCUAAUGGUCUGAGAGUCUUUAGGUACCUAAUGGUCUGAGAG